rnacentral:sRNA from 2 species
GGACAGUCAUCGCCGAGUCCCCGUACGGCGCGAGCCAGGGGAGCCGGGGACCCACUUGUGCAGUCCCUGGGGUGAAUCGGACGCCCGCGCGGCAACGCGAGGGGGUCCGUAGGAGACCUUCCUGCUCCGAACCCGUCAGCUAACCCGGUAGGCGAGAGGGAAGGAAAGG